CUUCCAAAGGUUGGUUAUAGUCAAACCCAAGCCGGCUGUUUACUGGCAGGUCGAAGGCCCCGCCGGAAAUGACGACGCCUCGUCGGCUCCUCCGCGCACGCGCCGAGGCGGCGGUAGCCUCCGUGGUAACCGUCCUCCCCCACGAGAUCCGUCCUCUUCUCAGCGCCAGUGCCACCUUCUUCUUCAUCCUGAGCGCUUACUUCGUGGUGCUGCCGCUCCGUGACGAGGGCGCCAUCUCCCUGGGUCUGGACACCCUCCCGGGCCUCUUCGCCGGCUCCCUACUGCUCACCGUCCUCGCCGCCCCAGUCGCCUCCCUCGUCUUCUCCCUCCCAUCCAUCCCCAAGCCCAGGGCUUUGGUUUUGAUACAUAGGUUCUUCAGCAUCUCUCUUGUUGCAUUUUUUGUGCUUUGGUUUGCUUCUAGCCCCAGGCAAUCUCAAUCCGUCUCCCAGUCUAGUGAAGAUGGUUCAAGUAAGCAUGCAGGGUGGGAAAACCACAGCUGGUUCUACAUAGUAGUGAGAAUAAGCUUGUUUCUUUGGGUUGCUUUACUUAAUCUCAUUACAAUAUCGUCAACUUGGGCAAGGGUAAUUGAUGUCAUGGAUAGUGAGUCAGGUUCAAGAUUGUUUGGUUUUAUUGGGGCCGGUGCUACGCUAGGGCAGCUUUUUGGUUCAUUGUUUGCUGCAAGCAUGGCAUGGCUAGGACCCUUUAUGCUCCUUUUUUCGUCCCUCCUGAUGGAACUUGCUGCUGUAUCAUCUAAAGGAAUUUGCAUUGAUGAUAGUCAGGGUUUAGUUGAACUGUCUCCAACAGGGGCAGAAAAGAAUCAAAAUACACAAAACACAGAGACUGAUGAUGAAAUGUCUUCACUGGUCACUUCGCCUACAUCGCCUUUCCAAUCUCGAAAGGCCAGCUCUGAGAUUUUUGUAAUGUUUGAAGAAAGUAACAAUAAUAGCUACUACAAUAUCAAGUCCAGCUGCCAGAAGGAGAACAUUUGCACUGAUAAACAGCUUUAUAGCAGUUUUCAUUCUUGUGGGACAGCUCACUUUGACGGAGACUUCAUCAGACUGCACACUACAAGAUCAAUUUUGAAUUGUGUGUCCAACAUUGCAAAACUAUCUAAUUUGCAUUUGUCAAUGCUUUUCAUGCGCUUCCAGUGUAUUCAGUGGCCAUAUCCUUACUGUUGCUGGUGUAACCGUUGCUAUCUGUGCAUCUCCGCUAAUUGCAGCCUCAAAUAUGGUUGCCCUUGCUGUAUGGCCAACUUGGAUUGCUGUGGCUAUCACCGAAACAAUUCGAAAGGUAAUCACUUAUGUUUUGACAAGGCCCGGAAGGGAGUUGUUGUUUACAGUUGUAUCACUGGAUGAAAAGUACAAAGCCAAGGUUUCUAUAGAUGUUAUUGUCCAAAGGCUAGGUGAUGCGACAGCUGCUGGAAUUUAUAGUUUGCUGUUCAGCAGACUUGAGAAGAAAGCAACCAUGGUUACCCUCUAUGCAUUGCCGCUCUGCUUCCUGUGGCUUCUCACUGCGUUUCAUUUGGGGCGGCUCCAGACAAGUCUUGCCAGGCUUAAGGCGGCUCCUGUGGCAUCCUAAUUCCUGAAGGGCCAAAAAUUGAUACCAUAUAUAUUUUCACAUUAUCACCAAGACUGAAGCUGUUUGCUUCUGCUGUUUUCUUCUCUUGGUUUUGACUCUACAGAUAACUACUGGAGGUAAUGACACGAGAUAGACAAUGCGUUCAGCAUGUAGAAAGCAUGGUUGCUGGAGGACAUUCCCCUGUGGAUAUUGAACUGCUCGUUUCAAGGAGCAGCAGAUUCAUGGAGGAACCUUUGAAUCUUGAGUGUUCCUUUCAGGAUGGAUUGGAUUAUUUCGGAGUUAAAUACAGAGAAAAAGUUCAACAUAUGGAAGAGAUAGAUCAAGAUACAUAGAGGAGUGUUAGGACUACACAUAGUAGUAGAAUAAUUUUUGGUUUUUGUACCGGUACCUGCAUGGCAGGAACUAAGUCAUGCAAAUUGCAAGGUAUAUACGCCGAUGUUAAUGAAUGCAGAAAGAAUCGUCUCGGCAAGACAUGCAAUUGUCGAUACUGAACCUCCUUGCUUGUUUCAAAGAAUGGCAGGUCAUCAAGAAAGCCUUUAAAUGCAGUGUUUUCCUUCUAGGAUGAAUUUGCAGUCAACUACAGAGAGAUUUCAACAUGUAGUAUUAUAUAGAGAAAAUAGGGGUGCUAAGCCUACAUGUAAUGCAGAAUAUUUCUCAAUUUUUGUAUGAUGCAAAACCCAAGUUAAUAUAUUACACCGUCCUCUUUUCUUGCUUUAA